rnacentral:rRNA from 1 species
CAGUCGCCGCGGGAAUACGAAGGGUGCAAGCGUUAAUCGGAAUUACUGGGCGUAAAGCGUGCGUAGGCGGUGAGUUAAGUCAGAGGUGAAAGCCCGGGGCUCAACCCCGGAACUGCCUUUGAAACUAGGUGACUAGAAUCUUGGAGAGGUCAGUGGAAUUCCGAGUGUAGAGGUGAAAUUCGUAGAUAUUCGGAAGAACACCAGUGGCGAAGGCGACUGACUGGACAAGUAUUGACGCUGAGGUGCGAAAGCGUGGGGAGCAAACAGGAUUAGAUACCCCAGUAGUCCCUGUCUCUUAUAC